GCUUGACCUCAAAUCAGGUAGGACUACCCGCUGAACUUAAGCAUAUCAAUAAGCGGAGGAAAAGAAACCAACAGGGAUUGCCUCAGUAACGGCGAGUGAAGCGGCAAAAGCUCAAAUUUGAAAUCUGAGGCUUUCAGCCCCCGAGUUGUAAUUUGAAGAUGGUGUUCUGGCGCCGGCCCCCUGUCUACGUUCCUUGGAACAGGACAUCGCAGAGGGUGAGAAUCCCGUCUGGCGGGGCGGCCUGGCUCCGUGUAGAGCGCCAUCGACGAGUCGAGUUGUU
rnacentral:rRNA from 1 species